UUUAGUAACUUUUUUGUUUUACUGUAGGUAUGGAACAGGCUGCUUCUUACUCUGCAAUACGGGCCAUAAGCCUGCACUCUCUGAGCAUGGCCUCUUAACCACUGUGGCUUACAAAUUGGGUAGAGACAAGGCUGUAUGUUAUGCAUUAGAAGGCUCUGUUGCUAUUGCAGGAGCUGUUGUUCGUUGGUUGAGGGACAAUCUUGGUAUUGCAAAAUCUUCAGAAGAAGUAGAGAAACUUGCUGCUGAAGUAGGCACAUCUUACGGCUGCUACUUUGUUCCUGCAUUUUCAGGAUUAUAUGCACCAUACUGGGAACCCAGUGCAAGAGGGUAAAUAUUAUCUGAUUGAAUGUUAAAUAGUAUUCUGGUAUUUUGCUAAUAAACAGGGCUUAUGAAAGAUUGAGUGUCUGCUUUAUGCCAAAGGAAAGUACCACUGCUGAUAUCUAUAUUCACUUCAUUUGAUAUUCCCCAGCCCUAUGCCCAGUUUUCCUUUAAAAAAUAUUUAUAUUAAACCAGAUAUAAAAGAAGCUGACCUAGUAGUUCUUCCUGUUAUAAACUACCAUCUUCAAAAAUAUAUUUAUUUCCGAGAAUGCCUUCUUGUCCACAUUUAUUUGGGCAAUGGCAAAACUCCUUAUGGCAGCUAUUUUCUUGAAUGCAUCUGCUGACCAUUGUUCCAAACUAAAUAGAUCAACGAUCGUCAACCAG